rnacentral:antisense_RNA from 1 species
GAGCCAGCCCUGCCGACCGCAACACUCUCGGAAGGGCUCGGCCACCCGAAGCCUCGUCACGAGUCCUACCGAGGAUUCGGAGCGGGCCUGCAAGAAGGGGCAGGCCAGGCUGGGGCUGCAAGACAGAGUCUUCCCUUGGAGAAGGGACCUGACUCUAUUAUUAAGAGAACGAAACAGGCACUUGCCCUACAGUCUAUAGAGCAUGGCCUGUCUCCUGGAGUGGCAUCCUAUACAUAUAACCCAUUGGAGCCAAGAGUUUUACCUUUUCAUGCAACUACAUUUUCAGAGAUUGAUUUGACUUCCUCUUCAGAUGUUUUUUCUAUUCAAGAGGUAAAACACUGGGAUAUUUGGACUCUCAGAACAGUGGUCUGGAUUUUCCUCUUUGACCUGUGCUUACAUGGGGUUCCUCAGAAAGCAGAGUCCCAGAUAAAAUGUAUAUGCUAUAUCUUUUGAAGAAUGCAGUUCCAGGGAAGCAGGAGAAAAGAAAAGGAGAAUGAGUCAGACAAGCAAGGAAAGCACCCGGAAUUGUGCCCCAAAGAGCUGGCGGCUGUGUGGUAGGACAUGCAUACUGUGUUUAAGCUCCCAUUUCACCUUUCAUUUUCUGAAAGACCUGUGAACUGCCACAUCUUACAGGAGAAGAACUCAUAGAACAUUAACAUCUCCAUCUCCAGGCUGCAGAGGCACCGAGCCAGUGGAUCCUC